UGAGGAAUAUUGGUCAAUGGGCGUAAGCCUGAACCAGCCAAGUAGCGUGAGGGAAGACUGCCCUAUGGGUUGUAAACCUCUUUUGUGCGGGGAUAAAGUGUGGGACGUGUCCCAUAUUGCAGGUACCGCACGAAUAAGGACCGGCUAAUUCCGUGCCAGCAGCCGCGGUAAUACGGAAGGUCCGGGCGUUAUCCGGAUUUAUUGGGUUUAAAGGGAGCGCAGGCCGUCCUUUAAGCGUGCUGUGAAAUGCCGCGGCUCAACCGUGGCACUGCAGCGCGAACUGGAGGACUUGAGUACGCACGAGGUAGGCGGAAUUCGUGGUGUAGCGGUGAAAUGCUUAGAUAUCACGAAGAACUCCGAUUGCGAAGGCAGCUUACCGGAGCGCAACUGACGCUGAGGCUCGAAAGCGCGGGUAUCGAACAGGAUUAGAUACCCUGGUAGUCCGCGCGGUAAACGAUGGAUGCCCGCCGUUGGGAUUUAGAUUUCAGCGGCCAAGCGAAAGCGUUAAGCAUCCCACCUGGGGAGUACGCCGGCAACGGUGAAACUCAAAGGAAUUGACGGGGGCCCGCACAAGCGGAGGAACAUGUGGUUUAAUUCGAUGAUACGCGAGGAACCUUACCCGGGCUUGAAUUGCAGGAGAACGAUCCAGAGAUGGUGAGGCCCUUCGGGGCUCCUGUGAAGGUGCUGCAUGGUUGUCGUCAGCUCGUGCCGUGAGGUGUCGGCUCAAGUGCCAUAACGAGCGCAACCCCUGUCCAUAGUUGCCAUCAGGUCGUGCUGGGCACUCUGUGGAGACUGCCGCCGUAAGGUGUGAGGAAGGUGGGGAUGACGUCAAAUCAGCACGGCCCUUACGUCCGGGGCUACACACGUGUUACAAUGGGGCAUACAGCGAGUUGGAUGUGCGCAAGUACGUCCGGAUCAAUAAAGUGCCUCUCAGUUCGGACUGGGGUCUGCAACCCGACCCCACGAAGCUGGAUUCGCUAGUAAUCGCGCAUCAGCCAUGGCGCGGUGAAUACGUUCCC
rnacentral:rRNA from 1 species